rnacentral:rRNA from 1 species
GCCUAACACAUGCAAGUCGAACGCGAAAGGUCUUCGGACUGAGUGGAGUGGCGCACGGGGUGAGUAACACGUAGGUAAUCUACCCUUUGGCGGGGGAUAACGUUCCGAAAGGGACGCUAAUACCGCAUAAGACCACACGGGCUUUGGCUCGAGUGGGAAAAGGUGGCCUCUUCUUGAAAGCUACCACCGGAGGAUGAGCCUGCGUCCCAUCAGCUAGUUGGUAAGGUAAUGGCUUACCAAGGCGAAGACGGGUAGCUGGUUUGAGAGAAUGAUCAGCCACACUGGCACUGGAACACGGGCCAGACUCCUACGGGAGGCAGCAGUGAGGAAUAUUGGGCAAUGGGCGAAAGCUGACCCAGCCACGCCGCGUGAGUGAUGAAGGCCUUCGGGUCGUAAAGCUCUGUUGAGAGGGACGAAAACCCUGGUUUCAAAUAGGCUCCAGGCUUGACGGUACCUCUUUAGCAAGCACCGGCUAACUCUGUGCCAGCAGCCGCGGUAAUACAGAGGGUGCAAACGUUGCUCGGAUUUACUGGGCGUAAAGCGCGUGUAGGCGGGUUCGCAAGUCGGACGUGAAAUCCCUGGGCUCAACCCAGGAACUGCGUUCGAAACUGCGAAUCUAGAGUAGUGGAGAGGAAAGUAGAAUUCCCGGUGUAGAGGUGAAAUUCGUAGAUAUCGGGAGGAAUACCAGUGGCGAAGGCGGCUUUCUGGACACUUACUGACGCUGAGACGCGAAAGCGUGGGAGCAAACAGGAUUAGAUACCCUGGUAGUCCACGCUGUAAACGAUGUGUGCUAGGUGUCGCGGGAUUUGACUUCUGCGGUGCCGUAGCUAACGCGUUAAGCACACCGCCUGGGGAGUACGGCCGCAAGGCUAAAACUCAAAGGAAUUGACGGGGGCCCGCACAAGCGGUGGAGCAUGUGGUUUAAUUCGACGCAACGCGCAGAACCUUACCCAGGCUAGAAAAGUAGUGAAGUCUGUAGAAAUACGGAUGUGCCUUUCGGGGAGCUCUAAUCCAGGUGCUGCAUGGCUGUCGUCAGCUCGUGUCGUGAGAUGUUGGGUUAAGUCCCGCAACGAGCGCAACCCUUGUCAUUAGUUGCUAACGGUUCGGCCGAGCACUCUAAUGAGACUGCCGGGGUUAACCCGGAGGAAGGUGGGGAUGACGUCAAGUCCUCAUGGCCCUUAUGUCUGGGGCUACACACGUGCUACAAUGGUCGGUACAAAGCGCAGCGAGCCCGCGAGGGGGAGCGAAUCGCAAAAAGCCGGCCUCAGUACGGAUUGCAGUCUGCAACUCGACUGCAUGAAGGCGGAAUCGCUAGUAAUCGUUGAUCAGCAGGCAACGGUGAAUACGUUCCCGGGCCUUGUACACACCGCCCGUC